AGCGAACGCUGGCGGCAGGCCUAACACAUGCAAGUCGAACGGACCCUUCGGGGUUAGUGGCGGACGGGUGAGUAACACGUGGGAACGUGCCUUUAGGUUCGGAAUAGCUCCUGGAAACGGGUGGUAAUGCCGAAUGUGCCCUUCGGGGGAAAGAUUUAUCGCCUUUAGAGCGGCCCCCGUCUGAGUAGCUAGUUGGUGGUGUAACGGACCACCCAGGCGACGAUCAGCAGCUGGUCUGAGAGGAUGAUCAGCCACAUUGGGACUGAGCCACGGGCCAAACACCUACGGGAGGCAGCAGUGGGGAAUCUUAAGCAAUGGGCGAAAGCCUGACGGAGCCAUACCGCGUGAAUGAUGAAGGUCUGAGGAUUGUAAAAUUCUUUCACCGGGGACGAUAAUGACGGUACCCGGAGAAGAAGCCCCGGCUAACUUCGUGCCAGCCGCCGCCGUAAGAC
rnacentral:rRNA from 1 species